rnacentral:rRNA from 1 species
UACGUAGGGGGCUAGCGUUGUCCGGAUUUAUUGGGCGUAAAGAGCGUGUAGGCGGCCAGGUAGGUCUGGUGUGAAAACUCGAGGCUUAACCUCGAGAUGUCAUCGGAAACCAUUUGGCUAGAGUCCGGAAGAGGAGAGUGGAAUUCCUGGUGUAGCGGUGAAAUGCGCAGAUAUCAGGAAGAACACCAAUGGCGAAAGCAGCUCUCUGGGACGGUACUGACGCUGAGACUCGAAAGCGUGGGGAGCGAACAGG